UAGACCAUUGAAUUCUGACUUUACU
rnacentral:piRNA from 1 species